CAGCUCUUGUUGUUUCCUGGCUGUCUUGGCACAGUGGUGGUAAUAUUUAAUCAGUUACUGAAUAGCAUUUAUGAAGACUUUCAAGUUUUACAGAGUGUGGUACUUGCUACAGUCAUCCCUACGGCAUCAGCAGUUAAGGGUCUCUCUGGAGCGUGUGCCUGAAAAAUGGUGUUCGUCCAGGAUUUCUCUGUUGUUUGUAAUUGCACAUUAUAGUUCUGCCCUGAUCUUUGUGGUCAUGGCAGUGAAUUGAUUGACAGCUUUCUGUUGAGUCAGUGAAUGUCACCAAUGAAGGCCCUUUUAGCUGCUUGACACAGAGAACUUAGACACCUUAUGGUCUCAAGAAUUUGAAGAACUUUUGGAAGUACUUAUACCUGGAAUCAAGAUGGC